rnacentral:rRNA from 1 species
UUUCUGACCUAUCAGCUUUAGACGGUAGGGUAUUGGCCUACCGUGGCUAUGACGGGUAACGGGGAAUUAGGGUUCGAUUCCGGAGAGGGAGCCUGAGAAACGGCUACCACAUCUAAGGAAGGCAGCAGGCGCGCAAAUUACCCAAUCCUAAUACAGGGAGGUAGUGACAAGAAAUAACAAUACAGAGCCUUACGGUUUUGUAAUUGGAAUGAGUUAAGUAUAAACCCCUUAACAAGUAUCAAUUGGAGGGCAAGUCUGGUGCCAGCAGCCGCGGUAAUUCCAGCUCCAAUAGCGUAUAUUAAAGUUGUUGCAGUUAAAAAGCUCGUAGUUAAUUUUCUGUUAAUUUUUAUAUACAAUGCUACGGUAUUUAUAUAAUAUUAACAUAAUUCAUAUUACUUUUUAGUAUAUGAAACUUUACUUUGAGAAAAUUAGAGUGCUUAAAGCAGGCUAUUGCCUUGAAUACUCCAGCAUGGAAUAAUAUUAAGGAUUUUUAUUCUUCUUAUUGGUUCUAGAAUAAAAAUAAUGAUUAAUAGGGACAGUUGGGGGCAUUUGUAUUUAACAGUCAGAGGUGAAAUUCUUAGAUUUGUUAAAGACAAACUACUGCGAAAGCAUUUGCCAAGGAUGUUUUCAUUAAUCAAGAACGA